AGAUUGAACGCUGGCGGCAUGCCUUACACAUGCAAGUCGAACGGUAGAGUAGCAAUACUCGAGAGUGGCGAACGGGUGAGUAAUAUAUCGGAACGUGCCCAGUCGUGGGGGAUAACGUAGAGAAAUUUACGCUAAUACCGCAUACGAUCUAAGGAUGAAAGCGGGGGAUCGCAAGACCUCGCGCGAUUGGAGCGGCUGAUAUCAGAUUAGGUUGUUGGUGAGGUAAAAGCUCACCAAGCCGACGAUCUGUAGCUGGUUUGAGAGAACGACCAGCCGCACUGGAACUGAGACACGGUCCAGACUCCUACGGGAGGCAGCAGUGGGAAUUUUGGACAAUGGGCGCAAGCCUGAUCCAGCAAUGCCGCGUGCAGGAUGAAGGCCUUCGGUUGUAAACUGCUUUUGUAACGGAACGAAACGGUUCUACGUCUAAUACGAGGGCUAAGUGACGGUACCGUAAGAAUAAGCAACCGGCUAACUACGUGCCAGCAGCCGCGGUAAC
rnacentral:rRNA from 1 species